AAACAGUAUUUUAUUCAACAGUCAAUAAGAUAAACAUACAAAGAAGUGCAUUCCCCAUCAAGAGCCCUGCUUAGGAAUGUGAUCAUGUGAGGGUAAUUCUAAGUACUUAUGAGAAAAUUCCAAGGAAACGGGACAAGAGUUUUAAGACCUCAGUUUUUUCAAAACACAGAACUGUGAGCCAGGCAUGGUGCAAGCCUUUAAUCCCAGCACUUGGGAAGCAGAGAGUAUUAAUUGAUGUCCUGGAUGAAGUUGGCUACUGCAUGAGACUUUAUUCUGCCACAUUUAUCGUCUCCAUUCUUCCAUGUCCCACCACCUCUAGAGCAGUGACAAGUGGUAUCUGAAGUGGUAUCUGAAGAGGAAUCUGGUCAAAUACUUGAUAACAGCGUGGGGACCCUCACAGAAGCAUGGUCUUGACCCCUUUGCUCAUCACUCCUCCAUCUCUACAACUGGAUUCAAGGAGUUC